rnacentral:rRNA from 1 species
UUCUAAGGGCGGUGAAGUCAGACCGGAAGGACUGGUGGAGCGCUUAGAAGUGAGAAUGCCGGUAUGAGUAGCGAAAGAAGGGUGAGAAUCCCUUCCACCGAAUAUCUAAGGUUUCCUGAGGAAGGCUCGUCCGCUCAGGGUUAGUCGGGACCUAAGCCGAGGCCGAUAGGCGUAGGCGAUGGACAACAGGUAGAGAUUCCUGUACCAGUGCUAAUUGUUUAACCGAUGGGGUGACACAGAAGGAUAGGGAAUCGCACGAAUGGAAAUGUGCGUCCAAGCAGUGAGUGUGAGAAGUAGGCAAAUCCGCUUCUCGCGAAGCAUGAGCUGUGAUGGGGAAGGAAAUUAAGUACGGAAGUUCCUGAUUUCACGCUGUCAAGAAAAGCCUCUAGGAAGAGUAGUACUGCCCGUACCGCAAACCGACACAGGUAGAUGAGGAGAGAAUCCUAAGGUGAGCGAGAGAACUCUCGUUAAGGAACUCGGCAAAAUGACCCCGUAACUUCGGGAGAAGGGGUGCUCUAUUAGGGUGCAAGCCCGAGAGAGCCGCAGUGAAUAGGCCCAGGCGACUGUUUAGCAAAAACACAGGUCUCUGCAAAACCGUAAGGUGACGUAUAGGGGCUGACGCCUGCCCGGUGCUGGAAGGUUAAGAGGAGUGCUUAGCUUCGGCGAAGGUACGAAUUGAAGCCCCAGUAAACGGCGGCCGUAACUAUAACGGUCCUAAGGUAGCGAAAUUCCUUGUCGGGUAAGUUCCGACCCGCACGAAAGGCGCAACGAUCUGGGCACUGUCUCAACGAGAGACUCGGUGAAAUUAUAGUACCUGUGAAGAUGCAGGUUACCCGCGACAGGACGGAAAGACCCCGUGGAGCUUUACUGCAACCUGAUAUGGAAUGUUUGUACCGCUUGUACAGGAUAGGUAGGAGCCGAAGAGACGUGUGCGCUAGCAUACGAGGAGGCAAUGGUGGGAUACUACCCUGGCUGUAUGACCAUUCUAACCCGCCACGCUUAGCGCGUGGGGAGACAGUGUCAGGUGGGCAGUUUGACUGGGGCGGUCGCC